rnacentral:rRNA from 1 species
GACGAACGCUGGCGGCGUGCUUAACACAUGCAAGUCGAACGGAACGGCCCUGCUUUUGUGGGCUGCUCUGGGUGACGACGGGUAAGUAACCCUUGGGUAACCUGCCAUUGCCUGUGGGAUAACUUCAGGAAACUUGGUCUCAUACCGGAUAGGAGCUCCUGCUGCUUGGUGGGGGUUGGAUGGUUUCGGCGGUUGGGGAUGGACUAGCGGCCUAUCAGCUUGUUGGAGGGGUAGUGGCUUACCAAGGCUUUGACGGGUAGCCGGCCUGAGAGGGUGACCGGCCACAUUGGGAUGGAGAUGAGGCCCAGCCUACAAUGGGAGGCAGCAGUGCGGAAGAGUGUACAAGGGGCUGAAGCAUGAUGUAGCAAAGCAGCGUGGGGGAUGACGGCAUGCGGUUUGGAAACUGCAUUCGUCUGUGACGAAGCGUGAGUGACGGUAACGGGUAAAGAAGCACCGGCUAACUACGUG